CGAGGAGGUAGGGCUUACGCUCGCGUUUGUCUGUUAUAUCUUGGUGGACGAGUCGUCGCGGUUGGGACUGAGGUGCCUACAACGUGCUUUUGAGUGAGUUUGUGUCUCCGUGUGCGCCGUGUGCGGAUAGCUUGCUAUGUAUGUGUGGUUGUGUGUGGAUUGAUGCGGGCUUUAACUUGUCGCCGUUCGGGACGUUGACGAAAUGGAGCGAUCCGACCCGUCUUGAAACACGGACCAAGGAGUCUAACAUGUGUGCAAGUGUUAGGGUGUGGAAACCCCAGCGCGAAAUGAAAGUGAAGGGCAGCGCAAGUUGUCUGAGGUAGGAAACGUUGCGGGCCUCGGUCUGCGGCGUGGCACUAUCGACCGAUCAUGAACCUUCGUGGUGAAAGAUUUGAGUUUGAGCACAUAUGUUGGUACCCGAAAGAUGGUGAACUAUGCCUGAGUAGGGUGAAGCCAGGGGAAACUCUGGUGGAAGCUCGUAGCGAUUCUGACGUGCAAAUCGAUCGUCAAACUUGGGUAUAGGGGCGAAAGACUAAUCGAACCAUCUAGUAGCUGGUUCCCUCCGAAAUUUCCCUCAGGAUAGCAGCAACUUAUUUACGAUAGUUUUAUGAGGUAAAGCGAAUGAUUAGAGGAUUCGGGGAAGAAACUUCCUCGACCUAUUCUCAAACUUUAAAUCUGUAAGACCUGCAGGUUUCUUAAU
rnacentral:rRNA from 1 species